UACGGAGGGUGCAAGCGUUACUCGGAAUCACUGGGCGUAAAGCGUGCGUAGGUGGUGGUUUAAGUCCGUUGUGAAAGCCCUGGGCUCAACCUGGGAACUGCAGUGGAUACUGGAUCACUAGAGUGUGGCAGAGGGUAGUGGAAUUCCCGGUGUAGCAGUGAAAUGCGUAGAGAUCGGGAGGAACAUCAGUGGCGAAGGCGACUGCCUGGGCCAACACUGACACUGAGGCACGAAAGCGUGGGGAGCAAACAGG
rnacentral:rRNA from 1 species